GAUGAACGCUGGCGGCGUGUCUAAUACAUGCAAGUCGAGCGAACGGACGAGAAGCUUGCUUCUCUGAUGUUAGCGGCGGACGGGUGAGUAACACGUGGAUAACCUACCUAUAAGACUGGGAUAACUUCGGGAAACCGGAGCUAAUACCGGAUGAUAUUUUGAACCGCAUGGUUCAAAAGUGAAAGACGGUCUUGCUGUCACUUAUAGAUGGAUCCGCGCUGCAUUAGCUAGUUGGUAAGGUAACGGCUUACCAAGGCAACGAUGCAUAGCCGACCUGAGAGGGUGAUCGGCCACACUGGAACUGAGACACGGUCCAGACUCCUACGGGAGGCAGCAGUAGGGAAUCUUCCGCAAUGGGCGAAAGCCUGACGGAGCAGCGCCGCGUGAGUGAUGAAGGUCUUCGGAUCGUAAAACUCUGUUAUUAGGGAAGAACAUAUGUGUAAGUAACUGUGCACAUCUUGACGGUACCUAAUCAGAAAGCCACGGCUAACUACGUG
rnacentral:rRNA from 1 species